GAUGAACGCUGGCGGCGUGCCUAAUACAUGCAAGUCGAGCGAACAGACGAGGAGCUUGCUCCUCUGACGUUAGCGGCGGACGGGUGAGUAACACGUGGAUAACCUACCUAUCAGACUGGGAUAACUUCGGGAAACCGGAUCUAAUACCGGAUAAUAUAUUGAACCGCAUGGUUCAAUAGUGAAAUACGGUUUUGCUGUCACUUAUAGAUGGAUCCGCGCCGCAUUAGCUAGUUGGUAAGGUAACGGCUUACCAAGGCAACGAUGCGUAGCCGACCUGAGAGGGUGAUCGGCCACACGGGAACUGAGACACGGUCCAGACUCCUACGGGAGGCAGCAGUAGGGAAUCUUCCGCAAUGGGCGAAAGCCUGACGGAGCAACGCCGCGUGAGUGAUGAAGGUCUUCGGAUCGUAAAACUCUGUUAUUAGGGAAGAACAAAUGUGUAAGUAACUAUGCACGUCUUGACGGUACCUAAUCAGAAAGCCACGGCUAACUACGUG
rnacentral:rRNA from 1 species